rnacentral:lncRNA from 1 species
UGUGCAACUUAAUAUAUACGAGGAGAUUUAAUUUAUAUCUCAUCUAAUUUUAAUUAUCUAUAUCUCAUGUAAAUAACUAAUCAAUAAUAUUAAUUAUCUACAUCUCAUGCAAAUAAUUAAUCAGCUAAUAAAAUAUAACUGGUGAUGAUCAUGGAUCUAUGAUUCGAGCUCGAGCCAUUAAACCGAAUUGGAUCUUAGGGUCAUUAUUACAAGCAUAUGUAUGUCAAUUAGUUUGAUCAUCUUCAACUCUUUGAUCCGAUCUCGUGCACCCUUGAUCCGAUCAUGAUCAACUCCUUAAUCUGAC